GUCACUGUAGGGCAAUGAAUAGUGUGUGUGUGUGUGUGCGUUGGACUUCUAAUUCAAAGGUCGUGGGCUUCGAAUCCUACCUGUGAUG